CCAGACUCCUACGGGAGGCAGCAGUGGGGGAUAUUGCACAAUGGGGGGAACCCUGAUGCAGCGACGCCGCGUGGGUGAAGGAGCGUUUCGGCGCGUAAAGCCCUAUCGGCAGGGAAGAAGGAGGACGGUACCUGACUAAGAAGCCCCGGCUAACUACGUGCCAGCAGCCGCGGUAAUACGUAGGGGGCAAGCGUUAUCCGGAUUUACUGGGUGUAAAGGGAGCGCAGGCGGCACGGCAAGCCUGAUGUGAAAGCCCGCGGCCCAACCGCGGGACUGCAUUGGGAACUACCGGGCUGGAGUGCCGGAGAGGUAGGCGGAAUUCCUAGUGUAGCGGUGAAAUGCGUAGAUAUUAGGAGGAACACCAGUGGCGAAGGCGGCCUACUGGACGGUGACUGACGCUGAGGCUCGAAAGCGUGGGGAGCAAACAGGAUUAGAUACCCCCGUA
rnacentral:rRNA from 1 species